UCCAGGUACCGCGAGUGUAAAGGUGUGUCGAAUUGUAAAUAGCGUUGCUCAUCGUUGCCGGCGAUACGCCGCGCGCGACCCUAACCUCGCACGAGACCUUCGUCGCGCCGUGUUUCGCUCCUGCCACGCAGUAAAAUGACUACGGUCGGAAAAUAAACAAUGGGGGCUGGUGAAUCGGGCCGUCGGGCAAUAAAUCAGUGCCACUCGUCCUAGCGCGAUUGUCGGGGACAUCGCUCGUCAGUGCGCACUUCGACAUCUCGCGUCGCGUUGAUCUCUUGUAUCCCCUUCGCGAUCGUCAAAGGUAGACGUUACGGAAAGUGCCGGAUAUUGUAUAUCGCGUAUGGCGCGGGUGAUCGCAACGCUUAAUUAACUUUCUGUUUCUCGUUGGAGAACACGUCGAUCGCGUACGGAUUGGGAAACGCGAUCGCGACCACGCGUUCGAGUCCGCAUGUCGUUCUCGCGUUCAGAAUCUCGAAAAGGAACAUAUUGAAAUAUCGAAGCGUGCGAAAUUGUUCGAUACUUAUCGUCACACGUUCAAAUCGCUCGUUAAUCGUUCGCUACUUACCGUGUCGCGAUCCGCGUUGCGUCUUGCGAAGCGACGACGGAGUGAACGCGUUUCGGUACGUCACGCAUUUCACGCGCUGGGAAACAAGUGUCACAAGCGCUCACAAAUGUCGAGAGUGUUUAAACGUAAACAAGCGACAGUCAUUUACGAUAAUCGCGGCUAGACUGCGAAUUUCACGUCUCGGUGAUCUCCGACCGCCGAGAGCGAAUCUGACGUGCGAAUGCAGCACAGAACGCGUCGGGUUGCGAGACGGUGGUGAUUGUUCGACGAAUUUAUUUCGUCGAUCCGAGUACGAAUCGGUGCGCGAUCGAUAAUCUUAUUCGGAGUGAAUACCGAUGCUGAGUGCCAAUCGAAAGUGAGAAAGAAAAUUCUGGUGAAGAGAGUCUAGCAAUAAAAAAAACGGACCUUUUGUCUUUGCUCGCGUCCCCUUUUUGUUUGACAGAACGCGUUUCGGGAGUGCCAAAUUACAUGUCGCGCGAUCAUGACGAGUUCAUUAUUCGCGCGGUAUCGUUUAAUCGCCGGGGGGUGCUAACGCGCGUUCGAAUUUCACAUUGGUAUUUUUAUCGCGCUUUAUAACCGCCGAACAUGAAUCUACGGCGUGUAAACGUAUAUCGUGAGUGCCGAAUUAUAUAGCGUGUACGUGCGAUUGUGAUCGUUCGUUAUUCAUUUGUUACAACAGUGUAAAUCGCGUGAUCGUUAUACCACGUUACCACGCGGAAUAUCGAACGCAUGAAUUUAUCGAUCGAUCAUUGUCUGUGUUCGCGGAUGCAGCUGCAAAGGCAGGAGACGUCUGGAUGCGGCAACUAUCCUUGGAUAUAUUUCUUGGCUCUGGGCAGCAACAGCAUCGAUCGGGCAACGUAGGAUUACAGUUCCACGCUUGCGCAUCGUACUAGUGAGUGAUAAAUC